CAAGGAGUAGUUUAGUUAGAAUAUCAGCUUUGGGUGUUGAUGGCGAGGCUGUUGCUUCUUCCUUGA
rnacentral:tRNA from 1 species